GAUGAAGCCCAGCUUGCUGGGUGGAUUAGUGGCGAACGGGUGAGUAACACGUGAGCAACCUGCCCCUGACUCUGGGAUAAGCGCUGGAAACGGCGUCUAAUACUGGAUAUGUCCCGUCACCGCAUGGUGUGCGGGUGGAAAGAUUUUUCGGUUGGGGAUGGGCUCGCGGCCUAUCAGCUUGUUGGUGAGGUAAUGGCUCACCAAGGCGUCGACGGGUAGCCGGCCUGAGAGGGUGACCGGCCACACUGGGACUGAGACACGGCCCAGACUCCUACGGGAGGCAGCAGUGGGGAAUAUUGCACAAUGGGCGAAAGCCUGAUGCAGCAACGCCGCGUGAGGGAUGACGGCCUUCGGGUUGUAAACCUCUUUUAGCAGGGAAGAAGCGAAAGUGACGGUACCUGCAGAAAAAGCACCGGCUAACUACGUGCCAGCAGCCGCGGUAAUACGUAGGGUGCAAGCGUUAUCCGGAAUUAUUGGGCGUAAAGAGCUCGUAGGCGGUCUGUCGCGUCUGCUGUGAAAUCCCGAGGCUCAACCUCGGGCUUGCAGUGGGUACGGGCAGACUAGAGUGCGGUAGGGGAGAUUGGAAUUCCUGGUGUAGCGGUGGAAUGCGCAGAUAUCAGGAGGAACACCGAUGGCGAAGGCAGAUCUCUGGGCCGUAACUGACGCUGAGGAGCGAAAGGGUGGGGGAGCAAACAGGCUUAGAUACCCUGGUAGUCCACCCCGUAAACGUUGGGAACUAGUUGUGGGGUCCUUUCCACGGAUUCCGUGACGCA
rnacentral:rRNA from 1 species